GUUUUCAAAUCUUCAACCGCCGCAGCCCACUCGUUUGUGCUUUGCGCCUUCCUCCUCCGCGCCUUGGAGCCGGAUCCGGCCCCGGAAACCCGACCUGCAGACGCGGUACCUCUACUGCGUAGAGGCCGUAGCUGGCGGAAGGAGAGAGGCGGCCGUCCUGUCAACAGGCCGGGGGAAGCCGUGCUUUCGCGGCUGCCCGGUGCGACACUUUCUCCGGACCCAGCAUGUAGGUGCCGGGCGACUGCCAUGAACUCCGGAGCCAUGAGGAUCCACAGUAAAGGACAUUUCCAGGGUGGAAUCCAAGUCAAAAAUGAAAAAAACAGACCAUCUCUGAAAUCUCUGAAAACUGAUAACAGGCCAGAAAAAUCCAAAUGUAAGCCACUUUGGGGAAAAGUAUUUUACCUUGACUUACCUUCUGUCACCAUAUCUGAAAAACUUCAAAAGGACAUUAAGGAUCUGGGAGGGGUAAGUGAAAACCCUACACUGGCAUAGAAGGAAAAAUUUGUAACUAGUACUUUCUACUAUGUAAUCAUUUAAAUUUUUCAUUUUGGAAAACGCUUCUAUUAGCACCAAGCUUAACAUUUUUAUCAGCUGUUUAUCGUUAACGAAAAACCAUUUGUUUUAACCUUUUGUGCACUGACAGACCUUUCAUGUUUCUCUGAUUAGCAGUCUAGUAUAAAGUUCUUAGAGUGUAAGACUCCCCUGUCCUAGUGGAACUGCUCAUUGACUGCUUACUGUAAUGUUGGAAUGUCCUCCAGAUAACAGCAAUUUCUUGAUUAUGAAUCUUGGGGAGCUAC
rnacentral:sRNA from 1 species